CAAGCCGGGAAUGGAAAUACCGGUACAAGCUAAGGAGCAGUGUGAGAGGCAAAUCCCUCAUAUAAUGCGAGAGAGUGAAGCGUAGCGAACAUAAGGGUAGCGAAGUGUGUGGAGAGGCUGUCAGGAAAAGCCGCUAUUGUGUAUCAUGAACCCGUACCGUAAACCGACACAGGUGGAUGAGGAGAGAAUCCUAAGGCCGACGGAAGAAGCAUUGUUAAGGAAUUCGGCAAAAUGACCCCGUAACUUCGGGAGAAGGGGUGCCUGCGCAAGCAGGUCGCAGAGAAUUGGCCCAAGCAACUGUUUAGCAAAAACACAGGUUUAUGCGAAACCGAAAGGUGAAGUAUAUGAGCUGACGCCUGCCCGGUGCUGGAAGGUUAAGGGGAGUGCUUAGACUUUAGUCGAAGGUGCGAACUUAAGCCCCAGUAAACGGCGGCCGUAACGAUAACGGUCCUAAGGUAGCGAAAUUCCUUGUCGGGUAAGUUCCGACCCGCACGAAAGGCGUAAUGAUUUGGGCGCUGUCUCGACAAUGCAUCCGGUGAAAUUGAAGUACCAGUGAAGAUGCUGGUUACCCGCGCCAGGACGGAAAGACCCCAUGGAGCUUUACUCUAGUUUGAUGCUGGGAUUCGAUACUGCAUGUACAGGAUAGGCGGGAGACUGAGAAGUAGUGACGUCAGUUGCUACAGAGUCGCUGUUGGGAUACCGCCCCUGCAGUAUUGGGUUUCUAACCUGCGGCCGUAAGCCGGUCGGGGGACAACGUCAGGCGGGGAGUUUGACUGGGGCGGUCGCCUCCGAAAGGGUAUCGGAGGCGCUCAAAGGUUCCCUCAGAAUGGUCGGAAACCAUUCGAAGAGUGCAAAGGCAGAAGGGAGCUUGACUGCGAGACCGACGGGUCGAGCAGGUACGAAAGUAGGACUUAGUGAUCCGGUGGUAUGAAAGUGGGAUUGCCAUCGCUCAACGGAUAAAAGCUACCCUGGGAUAACAGGCUUAUCACUCCCAAGAGUUCACAUCGACGGAGUGGUUUGGCACCUCGAUGUCGGCUCAUCGCAUCCUGGGGCUGUAGCAGGUCCCAAGGGUUGGGCUGUUCGCCCAUUAAAGCGGUACGCGAGCUGGGUUCAGAACGUCGUGAGACAGUUCGGUCCCUAUCCGGCGCGGGCGUAGGAUAUCUGAAAGGAGCUGGCCUUAGUACGAGAGGACCGGGCUGGACGAACCGCUGGUUCACCUGUUGUCAUACCAAUGGCAUAGCAGGGUAGCCAAGUUUGGAAGGGAUAAACGCUGAAGGCAUCUAAGCGUGAAGCCCCCCUUAAGAUAAGAUAUCCCUGGAGUAAUCCAGUAAGACCCCUUGAAGACGACGAGGUAGAUAGGGCAGAGGUGGAAGUGUGGUAACACAUGCAGCUGACUGUCACUAAUAGGUCGAGGGCUUGAUC
rnacentral:rRNA from 1 species